CAUAAUGCUGGAGAAACAGCUGAGAGUUCUACAUCGGGAUCAGCAGGCAGCAGGAAGAGAGCAAGGCCUGGCUGGAGCAGCUGCUCGUGGCUACUUUCUUUCAGAAUCUGCACUUUCCAGCAAUUCUCAAACCCCACACUUGCAGGAUCUCCCCAAUCUCAUCUGAGUUAUCGAGUCCUCCCUUAGGGAUGACGCCUGAACUGCUGCUCAGAAACAUGACUUUCUGUAUUGUCUGGACUGUUAAGGAGGACUGCUCUAGAGACACUUACGGCUUCCAAGAUUCUUGUUUGAGAAUCCCUGCUCAGAAUCCCUGCAUAGCUUGGACCCAGGAGGGAGAUAAAGAACGGAAAAUAGAGUGGGCUUCU
rnacentral:lncRNA from 1 species